GACGAACGCUGGCGGCGUGCCUAAUACAUGCAAGUAGAACGCACAGUUUAUACCGUAGCUUGCUACACCAUAGACUGUGAGUUGCGAACGGGUGAGUAACGCGUAGGUAACCUGCCUGGUAGCGGGGGAUAACUAUUGGAAACGAUAGCUAAUACCGCAUAAUAUUAAUUAUUGCAUGAUAAUUAAUUGAAAGGUGCAAUUGCACCACUACCAGAUGGACCUGCGUUGUAUUAGCUAGUAGGUGAGGUAACGGCUCACCUAGGCGACGAUACAUAGCCGACCUGAGAGGGUGAGCGGCCACACUGGGACUGAGACACGGCCCAGACGCCUACGGGAGGCAGCAGUAGGGAAUCUUCGGCAAUGGACGAAAGUCUGACCGAGCAACGCCGCGUGAGUGAAGAAGGUUUUCGGAUCGUAAAGCUCUGUUGUAAGAGAAGAACGGGUGUGAGAGUGGAAAGUUCACACUGUGACGGUAUCUUACCAGAAAGGGACGGCUAACUACGUG
rnacentral:rRNA from 1 species